GCUUCCGUGGUCCAAUGGUUAGGAUUCCACCCUUCCAAUGUAUCAACAUACAAAUGUCAGGUGGAGGUUCGUGUUCGAUUCACGGCGGUUGCA